rnacentral:rRNA from 1 species
CGGAGCAAUCCGCAACCGGCGAACGGGUGCGUAACACGUGAGCGACCUGCCUCCCCGCGGGGGAUAGCCGGCCCAACGGCCGGGUAAUACCGCAUACGCUCGCUCGGGGGCAUCCCGGGGCGAGGAAACUUCCGGGGCGGGGAGAGGGGCUCGCGGCCUAUCAGCUAGUUGGCGGGGUAACGGCCCACCAAGGCGGUGACGGGUAGCUGGUCUGAGAGGAUGGCCAGCCACAUUGGGACUGAGAGACGGCCCAGACUCCUACGGGAGGCAGCAGUGGGGAAUCUUGCGCAAUGGCCGAAAGGCUGACGCAGCGACGCCGCGUGGGGGAGGAAGGGCUUCGGCUCGUAAACCCCUGUUGCCCGGGGCGAACAGCGUGUUUCGACACGCCUGACGGUACCGGGUGAGGAAGCACCGGCUAACUCCGUGCCAGCAGCCGCGGUAAUACGGAGGGUGCGAGCGUUGUCCGGAAUCACUGGGCGUAAAGGGCGCGUAGGUGGCUUUUCAAGCGCGCGGUGAAAGCCCGGGGCUCAACCCCGGGUCGGCCGUGCGGACUGGGAGGCUCGAGCACUGUAGGGGCGGGUGGAAUUCCGGGUGUAGCGGUGGAAUGCGUAGAGAUCCGGAAGAACACCGGUGGCGAAGGCGGCCCGCUGGGCAGGAAGACCUCGUAAGAGGUCGGCUGACACUGAGGCGCGACAGCGUGGGGAGCAAACAGGAUUAGAUACCCUGGUAGUCCACGCCGUAAACGAUGGGCACUAGGUGCUUGGGGGAGCGACCCUCCGAGUGCCGGCGCUAACGCAUUAAGUGCCCCGCCUGGGGAGUACGGCCGCAAGGCUGAAACUCAAAGGAAUUGACGGGGGCCCGCACAA